ACAAACAAAGAACUGUCAAGUAAAAAUUAAUCAUAUUCAAUUUUCUUUUAAAAGUACAGAGCAUUCUCUCUCAAAAACCCCAAGGGAAAGAGCGACGGCCUCCCUCUCUGUCAAACCAAACUCGUCCGGCAGCGCUCAUGGCAGGAGUCUUUCUCCUUGCCUGUAUGAGUUGUUGUCGGACGGGAUCUGAAUUUUCAAUUGCUAAGGAGUUCUAAGAUCUGGGUGCUUUGGCUCAAGGUUUGGCUUGGUGGCUGAGAUGAGUUUGGGUGCUACUUCAGGCAUGGUGGCUAUUUUGUGUUGGGUGACCGGUAGGGUUUCUUCAAGAUGUGGUGGUCUCUCAGUUUUGCGCUUUUGGCGGAGUCGUGUGGCCUUAGCAGAGUGGAUCUGGGCGACGCAUGGAUCAACUUGGAAAACUCGACGGCGAGACGGGAAGGAGGAGCACCUACGCAGGAGGCUACUCGGGUUGAAGAUGGCGGCUAGGCUUCCUCAGGCCAUUUCGGGUUGAACCUUGGGUCCUGGGCCUCUGUUAUGGGGCUGCUACCUUAGGGCCAUCUAAAUGGGGCUGCUUUCUUCAGGGCCCAAUAAAUGGGGCUUACUCUUUUAGCCCAUUAAUUUUUAAGUUUUCCUGUUUUUCGGAACAAUUGCUCUUGGUCCAUGCUUUUCACAUGGGGGAGCUUUAUUUUCUUGCUCUAGUUUAGUUAGAAACAUUUGUGAUCUAUUUGAUAUUAGAUUAUAGGCUCCUUGUGAGCCUCAAUUUGUAAUGAGGAUAUAACCCUCAUACGAAUUAGAUGAUCUUGUUUGUCUUCUGUACGCAUGGCAACGGAUCGAUUUGUAUUGUACCCUCUAAUUACUUGAUUCUAAUGACAAAAUUGUCAUUAAGUUCAAAAAAAAGGGUUUAAAUUAGUACCAAAUAAGUAUUUUCCCUUUUUGAAAUAGUCAGUUACGACUUUCAUAUAAUUUAGGUAAAGUGAAGGCCAGAAGUAGUCAUUACAUACUUUACCGUUAUCAUCCAUAGAUAGACAAGUAGUUGUGAGGCAUACCUCAUCCAUAUGAUAGACUACUCUUUAAUAACCGCAUUCAUAGAGCCCAUAAGACCUAUAUAAUAUCCUAAGGGUGAACAAAACUAGACUAAAAGAAAAACAUAGAAGAAAAUAGAAUCUAGACAAAAGCUAAAGAGAGCUAUGAGCUGAGGCUAAUCUCCGACCCAUAAUAGCUGCUAAUCCAUCUGAUCCAAGAGAAGACCCAUUCGAGGCCCACAAGCCCAUUUGACUGAUCACCAUCUUCCACCUCCACACCACCCUCCAAACCAGUGUCGCGUCGCCGCCGUUGAUUGCAUGCUGCCCCACCCAAGGAACCACAACCACAACUAUGGGACCGCUUCUCUCCUUGUUUGCAGCCCGUCUGAUCCACAACCUCAGCAACAUCAAGCGCUUCUGCCGUCGAGUGAAGGCCACCACCUUCAAUCAAUCUGCACCACCCCGACUCGCCAAAGAACAACGCAGAUCUAGGCCUCACACAACCGCCAUUCAACUCCCAGAGGUAGAACGAUAGAUCAAAAUCAAAGAAUAUGCAUACCACAGCCGAAUUGCCUUACCUCCUUGAUGUGAAUGGAUAGCCAUCGAUCCCUGCCCGGCAGACAAAAACUCAAGGCGUCGGCGAGGCCAAACGACCAAGCCAUCAGCCUGAGCCGCCGCCGAACGAAGAAUUUUCCUUUGAGAGAGUUUUUCUUGUAUUAUUUACUAUGUAUUUUUUUGGUCAAGAAUUUACUAUGUAUUUAGAGAAAUUUUAAAUACACACCCUUAAUAUCUGAAUACACAC
rnacentral:lncRNA from 1 species